CUACGGGGGCACCAGUGGGGAAUAUUGGGCAAUGGAGGCAACUCUGACCCAGCAACGCCGCGUGAAUGAUGAAGGUCUUCGGAUUGUAAAGUUCUGUGAUGGGGGACGAAGAAAGUGACGGUACCCCAGAAGCAAGCCACGGCUAACUACGUGCCAGCAGCCGCGGUAAUACGUAGGUGGCAAGCGUUGUCCGGAAUGACUUGGCGUAAAGGGUGCGUAGGUGGUUUGGCAAGUUGGUAGUGAAAUCCCGGGGCUUAACUUCGGUGCUACUACCAAAACUGUUGAACUUGAGUGCGGGAGAGGUAAGUGGAAUUCCUAGUGUAGCGGUGGAAUGCGUAGAUAUUAGGAGGAACAUCGGUGGCGAAGGCGACUUACUGGACCGUAACUGACACUGAGGCACGAAAGCGUGGGGAGCAAACAGGAUUAGAUACCCUUGUAGUC
rnacentral:rRNA from 1 species